UACAGAGACUGCAAGCGUUAUUCGGAUUCACUGGGCGUAAAGGGUGCGUAGGUGGUUUGUUAAGUCCGUUGUGAAAUCCCUGGGCUCAACCUGGGAAUGGCAGUGGAUACUGGCAAGCUAGAGUGCGGUAGAGGGUAGUGGAAUUCCCGGUGUAGCAGUGAAAUGCGUAGAGAUCGGGAGGAACACCAGUGGCGAAGGCGGCUACCUGGACCAGCACUGACACUGAGGCACGAAAGCGUGGGGAGCAAACAGG
rnacentral:rRNA from 1 species